rnacentral:lncRNA from 1 species
CUUCUCAUACGCAUGAAACAAAUAAUCAUGCCAUUCAACUACAUGUAGUGAGAACAAGUCCAGUCAUUAUCAAUAAUCUUAACAACAGCCAUUCCAAAUUCCAACUGUUGAAACGUGAUUAAAAUAUACUAUUAGUUGAAUUUGGCAUAUGAAUGGCUCAUUGGGUUGUAUUUCCUUGUUCCCGCCCUGCUUAACGUAGGUUUAGGCCUAUAUAGUCUGUUAGUUGUUAUAGGUUUGGGAGAAAGUGUAUCGUUUUUUUUAUUUCCCUUCAUUUUGCAUCGUUGGAUCCAUGGAUUGGUUUGGUUGUCUUCUUUGUGGUUUGUCUUUAUACGGCUGUGGUGAUUUGUUUAUGUGUAUUUUUUAAGUUGUGAAUGGUUGUUUUUAUUUAUUUGAGUUGCUUUAUAGUUAUAUAAUAUUUCUUGGGGAAACCAUUUUGUUUGUAUACGGCUCAAUAAGUGUGAAAUACUGUUUUUUAAUGCAAGUGGCAAGGCUUCCUUCUAACUAUAAAUAAGCCAUAUGUAUCUUUGCUUCGUUGCUCACUUCCACUUCUUUCUCCUCAUAUUUUCGACUUUCUUUUGUUCAGAGGUCUUUUGUUUUGCUUUUCUCAUGGCUAUGGAUAACUCAUUUGAUAAGUAACCAUCGACCUAAACCUUUGAGUCUUGUGUUUCUAUUUUGGAUAUUAUGAGUAAGGUGCUAAGUGUGAGCCAACGUUGCAAUAUGGCUAGCUAAAUAAUUAUGCACCGGUUGUUUGGUUUUUUGUUGUUGAUGUCAACUUAGGUUGUGAUAUUUGGUUUGAGUGGUUAUAAUCUAUGUUAGGUUGUUGUACUGUUUGAUGUUGUUUACUUAUUAAGAGUGUUGUAAUGUCCUAUGGUCAUGUUAUUAUGUAAUCAUGGUUUUAAUCAAAGGUUAUAAACCUAAUGUUGAAGUUAUUUUGAUCUUUUUACAUGUAUGUUUUUGGUUUGGUAUUUUAUAAGUGUACUGUACUUGUUCUGUAAAACAAACUACAGUGACAGUUGCCUUCAUCAUGGAGGAGGUUGGCUUGAACAAUAGGGGAGAAAUAGUGGGUUUACUUUGAAUUGUUAGCGUUAGAAUAGUUAGCACUCAUGGUUUCAAGCGUUUAUUAAGAGAAAAAUUUUACAAGGAAGAUUUGCAUGUUUUUGUUUGUGGUACUUUAGACCAACAGCUUAUAUAGAUAAAUAAAAUUUUGCUAAAAGGAUUCUUAUAGCCAAUGGGACUUCUUUAAUUUGUUUCAUCAAUAAAAAAAAAAAAAAAAAAAGGUGGACAUUGUGCUUUUCGUUUAUUUCGUAUAGAGAUUUUUGUGCGUAAGCAUGUUUAAUUGAUGGAGAUGAAAAAAGAUGGUUAUGGUUUCGAUAGUUCCUUAUAUAAGAAAAAAUAUGUAAAUUUCUGUGAUUUUAUGGUUUGUGGUUCAUUUAGUUUUAUGUCUUUUUUAUUAGAGCAUGUUUAGGUAAUUGGAAAAAGAAAAAGAUGGUUAUAGUAAGUAUAGAUGGCUAGCAAUAAAAAUAUAAAAUGUAAAUGAAGUUAUAUGGUUCUUGUUUGUUGCGAUGAUGGAUAGUUUUUGCACCAUUAUGUUUAAAUUUUUUAAAUUCUCCUAUUGUAUUUGAUUAAUUACCAUUUGUUAUUUCUGUUGGGGUUUAGAUCAAGGAUUUUUUUUUUCUUUUCAA